rnacentral:rRNA from 1 species
CCUACGGGUGGCAGCAGUAGGGAAUAUUGCUCAAUGGGGGAAACCCUGAAGCAGCAACGCCGCGUGGAGGAUGAAGGUUUUCGGAUUGUAAACUCCUUUUGUUAGAGAAGAUAAUGACGGUAUCUAACGAAUAAGCACCGGCUAACUCCGUGCCAGCCGCCGCGGUAAUACGGAGGGUGCAAGCGUUACUCGGAAUCACUGGGCGUAAAGAGCGCGUAGGCGGGAUAGCAAGUCAGAUGUGAAAUCCUAGGGCUCAACCAUAGAACUGCAUUUGAAACUGUUAGUCUAGAGUAAGGGAGAGGUAGGUGGAAUUCUUGGUGUAGGGGUAAAAUCCGUAGAGAUCAAGAGGAAUACUCGUGGCGAAGGCGACUUGCUGGAACAUAACUGACGCUGAGGCACGAAAGCGUGGGGAGCAAACAGGAUUAGAUACCCGUGUAGUC